AGUGCUUGUGGUCUUGUUUAUAGCACAUAUGUAGUGAGAGCUUUAUUACCUGGGUUUUCUAAACAUGACAUGAAGCUUUUGUUCCUGACUAUCAGAAAUAAAGUUGAGCAAGCUACUUAUGUCUUGCCCACAUAUGUUGCAAGACAAUUAAUGAAUAAUUGAAUGUCUUGACUUUAUUAUUUCAAUAAUUUUUUCUUAAAAUUCUUAGUGGAGUUGUUAUUAGCAUGUUGCAAAUUAUUUAUUAAUAAAAAAACUUUCAAUAUGAAUAAAAAGAACCUGCACUUGAUUCCCUCAUAGAUGUUGAGCAUUCCAGAGAGAGUUUUGGUCUUAUCAAGAACAUGAAUGUUGCUCCUGAAACAAAAAAAAAAGAGAGAGAUUAAAACCAACAUCUCACUUUGGUUUUCUUUUGACAUAAAUUAAAGCAACAGCUCUUCCAAGUCUUCUUUUCUUGGUCAGAGUACACACUCUUCAAUGUAAUCUCAAUAUGAUGAAAUCAG